ACUUAGCCCCGAUCGAGCCGGUAUCCUUUUACGGCGGGGUUCGCCGUAAAAGAUUUAGGCGAGAGCGAGACAGGAG
rnacentral:sRNA from 1 species